UCAGCUCGUGUCGUGAGAUGUUGGGUUAAGUCCCGCAACGAGCGCAACCCCUACGUUAGUUGCUAACGCGUGAAGGCGAGCACUCUAGACGAACUGCCGUUGACAAAACGGAGGAAGUGGGAUGACGUCAAAUCAUCAUGCCCCUUAUGUUCUGGGCUACACACGUGCUACAAUGGCCGGUACAGACGGACGCAAAGCCGCGAGGUGGAGCAAAUCCUAAAAAGCCGGUCUCAGUUCGGAUUGCAGGCUGCAAUUCGCCUGCAUGAAGUCGGAAUCGCUAGUAAUCGCAGGUCAGCAUACUGCGGUGAAUACGUUCCCGGGCCUU
rnacentral:rRNA from 1 species